rnacentral:rRNA from 1 species
UACGUAGGGUGCGAGCGUUGUCCGGAAUUAUUGGGCGUAAAGAGCUUGUAGGCGGUUUGUCGCGUCUGCUGUGAAAAUCCGGGGCUCAACCCCGGACUUGCAGUGGGUACGGGGCAGACUAGAGUGUGGUAGGGGAGACUGGAAUUCCUGGUGUAGCGGUGAAAUGCGCAGAUAUCAGGAGGAACACCGAUGGCGAAGGCAGGUCUCUGGGCCACUACUGACGCUGAGAAGCGAAAAGCAUGGGGGAGCGAACAGG